AUUGAACGCUGGCGGCGUGCUUAACACAUGCAAGUCGAUCGGUAACAGGUGUAGCAAUACAUGCUGACGAGAGGCGGACGGGUGAGUAAUGCUUGGGAAUCUGCCUAUUAGUGGGGACAACCCGGGAAACGUCGGGCUAAUACCGCAUACGCUCUACGGAGGAAAGCCGGGACCGCAAGGCCUGGCGCUAAUAGAUGAGCCCAAGUCGGAUUAGCUAGUUGGUAGGGAACGGCCUACCAAGGCGACAAUCCGUAGCUGGUCUGAGAGGACGACCAGCCACACCGGAACUGAGACACGGUCCGGACUCCUACGGGAGGCAGCAGUGGGGAAUAUUGGACAAUGGGGCAACCCUGAUCCAGCGACGCCGCGUGGGUGAAGAAGGCCUGCGGGUUGUAAAGCCCUUUCGGUAGGGGAAGAAAAGUCUCGACCUAAUACGUCGGGACCUUGACGUAACCCACUAAAGAAGCACCGGCUAACUCUGUG
rnacentral:rRNA from 1 species